ACCUGAUCCCAUCUCGAACUCAGAAGUGAAACUGCUCCGCGCCGAUGAUAGUGUAGUUCAAACUAUGCGAAAGUAGGUCAUCGCCAGGC
rnacentral:rRNA from 1 species